rnacentral:lncRNA from 1 species
UGGUCAACUUUCUUGUAAAACUAUUAUAAUUUUGACUGACACUAUGUUAAUUUAUUUUCCUUCCUUCCUUCCUUCUUUUCUUUUCCUUCUUUUCCUUUUUUUCUUCUUCUUUUCCUUGCUUCCUUCCUUCUUGCUUCCUUCCUUCCUUCUUUUCCUUCUUUUCCUUCUUUUCCUUCGAGAUGGAGUCUUGCUCUGUCACCCAGGCUGGAGUGCAGCAGCCUGAUCUUGGCUCACCACAACCUCUGCCUCCCAGGUCCAAGCCAUUCUCCUGCCUACCAAGUAGCUAGGAUUACAGGCACCCAGUACCAUGCCUGGCUAAUUUUUUCUCUGACAUCAUGAGAGUUGGUUGGUUGGUUGUUUUUUUGAGAUGGAGUCUUGCUGUGUCACCCAGGCUGGAAUGCAAUGGCAUGAUUUCGGCUCACUGCAACCUCUGCCUCCUGGGUUCAAGACAGGAAUGUUCUUGAAGAGAUGUAUAUAAAUGUUGUAUUUGUUCAUUGAAUCAUCAUGUCACAUGUUUUAGGAAACACUGUUUCAAGAAACCUUGUGAUACAUUUUAUGAUGAUUUAUAUGACCAAUUUUCAAACCCACAUUUGCAGACAUUUUAUUUCAUCCUCAGUUGCAGGCAUUCCAUUAAGGUGGACUGAUUAAAGUGCCUUUUCAGAACAUUAGAACUUCGUGUUUCCUCUUCAUGGGGUUACUGUCAACUUAUUUAAGAAGAACAGUAGAACUUCAUGUUCCCUCUUC